CCUACGGGCGGCAGCAGUGAGGAAUAUUGGUCAAUGGACGAGAGUCUGAACCAGCCAAGUAGCGUGAAGGAUGACUGCCCUAUGGGUUGUAAACUUCUUUUAUAUGGGAAUAACAUGUUCCACGUGUGGGAUUUUGUAUGUACCAUAUGAAUAAGGAUCGGCUAACUCCGUGCCAGCAGCCGCGGUAAUACGGAGGAUCCGCGCGUUAUCCGGAUUUAUUGGGUUUAAAGGGAGCGUAGGUGGAUUGGUAAGUCAGUUGUGAACGUUAGGGGCUCAACCGUAAAAUUGCAGUUGAAACUGGCAGUCUUGAGUGCAGUAGAGGUGGGCGGAAUUCGUGGUGUAGCGGUGAAAUGCUUAGAUAUCACGAAGAACUCCGAUUGCGAAGGCAGCUCGCUGGACUGCAACUGACACUGAGGCUCGAAAGUGUGGGUAUCAAACAGGAUUAGAUACCCGAGUAGUC
rnacentral:rRNA from 1 species